rnacentral:rRNA from 1 species
UACGUAGGGUGCGAGCGUUGCCCGGAGUUAUUGGGCGUAAAGGGCGCGUAGGCGGCUCGGCACGUCUGUUGUGAAAUUGCCCGGCUCAACUGGGCGGGGUCGGCGGAUACGGCCGAGCUGGAGCAAGCUAGGGGGUAAUGGAAUUCCUGGUGUAGCGGUGAAAUGCGUAGAUAUCAGGAGGAACACCGGUGGCGAAGGCGGCCCUCUGGACGGUGACUGACGCUGAGGCGCGACAGCGUGGGGAGCAAACAGG